AUGGAAAAAAUGAAGGACGCGCCGGUACCGGAAGGUGAAGAGCCAAAGUCUGAUGUUGAAACUGUCGAAGAAGUGCUCAAGACCGAAGUCAAGCAAAGCACAUUCCUUAGGAAUGUUGGGCUCCAGUCAUCUAGGAACUCCGGCAAAGCUAGGAACUCCGGCAAAGCAACUGCUGAAGUGGCUGCUCAUGUUCGUGACCUUGAGCAGAAGCUGGAGAGGUCUGAGCUUCAAGCUGAAUAA
rnacentral:rRNA from 1 species